rnacentral:lncRNA from 1 species
GGGUGCAGCUGCCGGAACAGGCGCUCGAGCAGGCGCGCCCAGAACUCGGCCAGCGUCUCCUGGAGGUGCAGGUUGGCGCCGCCGUAGUAGAGGCGCAGCUCGGCGUACAGGUCGCGGAAGGCCUUGGCAUUCUGCGUGUACAGCUCUCCGAAGGCGCCCGGGAAGGCCUCCUGCAGCGCGCGCUCUGAGUCGUUCAACAGGCGCUGGAAGUGAUCUGGGCGCGGGGGGAGGUGGGCGUGAGGCCUUUCGGGGCCCCCUGCCCACCCCACGUGCUGCGGCAGCCCUGACCAGCACUCCUGCGGGCUCCGCCGGCGACCCCCCCCACCCCCGGUGCUCUGAGCCAUCAGAACCUGUGGGGGCCCUGGAUGCCGGCCCCCAUGGCGUCCUGAGCACUCCCCCUCCUGGCCUGGGGACUGCAGUGUCCAGCGUCUAUUUCUGACCUGAGCCCCACGCGAGCACCUACAAGGGACUGCUUCCGAGGGCAGGAAGGUGCAGAGUUGGGGUGGGACCUACAGGGGGAGGGCCCUGGGCGCCCCUCACCUGCUCUCCUUCCCAGCAGCUCUCCUUCCUCCCUCCACUGUCACCCAGCCAGCCCCCCAUCCUGGGGAGUCUUGAGUCCCCCACUGUGUGUCUCUGUCCAUUCUCCACCCCGCGGUCUCUGGGGCUCUCCUGGGCUUCCUGCCCUCCCGCCUCUCUGCGCGGUGCUCCGUCUGGUUCUGGAAGCUGACCUGCCAGGUGGUCUGGAGAGGGCCCCCUGCAGCCCUCAGGACAUGUCCAGAGUCCAGACAGGGCCAUGGAGGUGCGGGGUGAGUGUCGGGGGUUUGGGGAAAAUGCUUCUGUCCUAUGUGCUGAGAACCGGGGCCCCCACAUCAUCCUCCUCUCAGCAGGGAGACUGCAGGGGACAGGGCACACCGCCCACCCACGCAGAUGCAUCCUCACAAGCUGUGGGCACCUCUCCCCACCCAGGCCCACCCUCGGGUGUCCAUGCCAGCUCAGCUCUGCUCUGAGGCUGUGGAGAUGUCAGGCUUGUGGCCCCCAGACCAGUGCCCACACCCGCCCCACCCAGGGCCUUGGGCAAGAGACACUGGCGCAGCCCUGGCUGGGUGGGGGCUGUGGGAGGAAGCAGCCGCGCCACUUAUGGUGGAGACUGGCUGCUGGGA